CAGAAUAUAAAAUGAGGUUGGGAUUUCUUUAAUACAUGUUGCCUCCACUGUCAGCUAAAUAUCUGUGCAUCAUCCACAACUAAAUUUGGAAGAAACAAAGUGAGGAUCCAUCCCCAGGGUCAGAGAAACAGGCUCUCACUAUGUUGCUCAGACUUGGUUUCGAACUCCUGACCUCAAUGAUCCCCCCACCUCAACUGCUGAGUAGCUGGGAUUACAGGCAUGAACCACCAAGCCCAACAAGAAUAUUUUAAUAUGUUUAACAGAAUUCAGAACUCUUUAACUGUGAUAAAAAACUAUGCUUUUCUUUGACUCUAAAUAUGUUACUUGAAAUAUCAUUAACGUGAAGUUGUUUUUAUGAUUGCACUGAGUAUUUAUCACAAGCCAUUUAUAUCGUCAACUCAGCUCUUAGAUCGCAAAUUUACAGGAUGGCUAGAAGACCUGCACGAAAUGUCUGUGGACAGACAAGGAGUUUGCCAGUCUUCAUAGGACUGAAUAUAUAUUGGAAAACCACCACACCAAACAGGACGAUAGAGCAAAAAAAACCUACAAAAAAAAAUCCAGGGAACUAAACCACAACCUCUGCAACAAUCGAGAGCAAAAAAGGUCGGACUUGGUCAAUGACAGAAAACUUUUUUCAUGUUUCUUUCCACUUCCAACUUAGGAUCAAUCAAGAAAGCCAAAUGUGCUGCUCACACUAACGUGGUAGCUAGCUUAUCUUCAGCUUCCCCAUACCAAAAACCUCCAGCUAAAGCAUAACUGAAUCCUUCCUUCUUUAUUAACUAAUAAAGUUUUCCCAUUCUCUUGACUGCGUUUAAGUCUCUGCCAAAGACAAGUGAUGGUGGCUGCCUCCCUUGCUACAGAAAGCUCUGAAUAAGUAGCCUUGAUUUAUUCCCAUUUGCAUGGUCUUCAUUUAUUUCCAACAAUCCGAGCUCAUAUACACAUGCCAACAAACACACACAAAAAUAAAUAACUGCAAAAUACGUUUCAUAGUAAAAUACAUAUCCCCAUAAAUGUAUUAUAAGUAAUGCCUUCUGAAAUUUUCUAUUCCAUUACAUAAAAAGUAAAUGUUGGCCCCAAACCAAAAUUAUUUAAUGGCCCAUUAACCAGUACGACUUUUAUAUUGAAAAAUAGGUGUACACAUAUUUUCUAAAGCUUAUUUGACCCCGCGGCCAUCUGUUCACUGAGUAUCUCUUAAGACUUGUUUCCUUAGGACACGCUUGGGGAAGGUUAACUACAUUUUGAAUAGAGAUUACUGGAAGAAUAGAGAUGUGAUUAACAAACAAUCAGAAUAAACACUUGGUUUUUAAUGAAAGGUAUUUAGUUCAAUUUAAAUUAUAUUGAUUAAGAAAUUACAAUUCAGAGAAACAGAAAAAAAUACUAAAAUUGAGAAAGAAAAGAGUUUUAUAAAAUUCUAGUCCUUUCUGAAGCUUAUUUAAAGGUCAUUUAGUUUAACUUUCCUCUCAAUCAACAAUUUUGUUUUCCUGUUCUAGUAUCUAUUAUUAAAAUGGGACUGCUGUUUUAGGCAAAGUAAAUAUAAACAAAGAAUAAACUCCUGUCUAUUAGAAAGUGAAGGGAAAGUGUAAGGGCAAGCACAAAACGAAAAGAGGCUUAAUUUUUUAGGGUUAGGGUUAGUGUUAG
rnacentral:lncRNA from 10 species